rnacentral:rRNA from 1 species
UGAUCAGUGGCGAACGGGUGAGUAACACGUGGGCAACCUGCCCCUGACUUCGGGAUAACUCCUCGAAAGAGGAGCUAAUACCGGAUACGACCACUUCGGACAUCCGAUGGUGGUGGAAAGUUCUUCGGUCAGGGAUGGGCCCGCGGCCUAUCAGCUAGUUGGUGGGGUAAUGGCCUACCAAGGCGACGACGGGUAGCCGGCCUGAGAGGGCGACCGGCCACACUGGGACUGAGACACGGCCCAGACUCCUACGGGAGGCAGCAGUGGGGAAUAUUGCGCAAUGGGCGAAAGCCUGACGCAGCGACGCCGCGUGAGGGAUGAAGGCCUUCGGGUUGUAAACCUAUUUCAGCAGGGACGAAGCGAAAGUGACGGUACCUGCAGAAGAAGCACCGGCUAACUACGUG